GGUAGUGGUUCAGUGGUAGAGUGCUUGCCUUGCAUGCAUGAGGCCAUGGGUUCCAUCCUCAGCACCA
rnacentral:tRNA from 1 species